AAAAAGACAAACCCUGGGUUUCCGUGUUCAAUGUUUGACCGUCCGUCUUAUUCGAAAAAAUUAUGAAAAAAAUUAAAAAGACAAAUCACGCAUAAAGUAUUAAUCAUGUUUUAUCAUCUAACAACAAUGAAAAUACUAAUUAUAAAAAAAUUUCAUAUAAGACGGACAAUCAAACAUUGGACACGAAAAACCAGAGUUUGUCUUCUU
rnacentral:pre_miRNA from 1 species